GACGAACGCUGGCGGCGUGCCUAAUACAUGCAAGUAGAACGCUGAAGAGAGGAGCUUGCUCUUCUUGGAUGAGUUGCGAACGGGUGAGUAACGCGUAGGUAACCUGCCUGGUAGCGGGGGAUAACUAUUGGAAACGAUAGCUAAUACCGCAUAACAAUGGAUGACACAUGUCAUUUAUUUGAAAGGGGCAAUUGCUCCACUACAAGAUGGACCUGCGUUGUAUUAGCUAGUAGGUGAGGUAAUGGCUCACCUAGGCGACGAUACAUAGCCGACCUGAGAGGGUGAUCGGCCACACUGGGACUGAGACACGGCCCAGACUCCUACGGGAGGCAGCAGUAGGGAAUCUUCGGCAAUGGGGGCAACCCUGACCGAGCAACGCCGCGUGAGUGAAGAAGGUUUUCGGAUCGUAAAGCUCUGUUGUAAGUCAAGAACGGGUGUGAGAGUGGAAAGUUCACACUGUGACGGUAGCUUACCAGAAAGGGACGGCUAACUACGUG
rnacentral:rRNA from 1 species